ACGUGGCUACUGGAGCGCCGGCUUUCUUCUUGUUUUGCUUCCUCUUCUGCCCGCGUGUGUGGCUACUGUGUCAUGUGGUCGGCGGUUUUCACUAAUGUUAGCUGAAAUGUAGGAAACCAAAAUUCUACGAAACUUAACUGAUUCGGAGGAAGCUAGGACGUGUCUUUUUCUGCCCCGCCCGCCAUAGAUAGGUAUCUGACGGGGGCGGUAUGGUGGUAGAAUCAGGUUGAGCAUUGCAAGAGCGCGGGAUUUGAUCUAGAGUGGGGAGUUGAUACUUUUGGAAAAGUGAGCGUUAAUUCGUUUCCCGGUCUUUGCACGUCCUUUACCACCAGUACAGCUGAGCUCAUCCUCCUUACUGGAAAAUCGCCAGUGAAGAAAUACCUGAAUUGCCAUGUGCACAUUUCUCAAGAGAACGCGGGCAGUCAGAGUAGCAUGAGUUGCUGAUGAUGUGAAAGCAUGUGGACUUACCUGCAAACUGUUGCUGGCUGCACAGAACUCUUCCAGCCUGCACAGAAGUGUGCGUCAGGUUCGCAAACUGCACAAGUAAACACGUCUCAAAGGACAUAAUACAACCGCAGCCGGUUCGAGCACCGAGAAAUUCUAAAUAACAAAAUCAAUUUACUGAACUUCCCGGGUUGCCUCCCAGAACUCUGGUAUCAUUCUGCUGUGUUGCGAAUGGAUUGAAGAAAGACAAGAAUGAACUUGGAACAACUAAUUAUGGGAAUAUUUUAGUCAUCCAGAUGGUUAUUCUGAUUGUGGUGGCAGCAAGGAUGGAAAAAAGUGAGUGCAUCUGCUUUAUCGCUGCUGCUGCUGCUGCUGCUGCUGCUGCUGCUGCUGCUGCUGCUGCUGCUGCUGCUGCUGCUGCUGCCGCCACCACAUCUUUCCCUGACAUCAGAAGCCAGCAUGCUUGGUCAUCCAAUGUGGACUGAAGACCAGUAACUCUCCAGGAAUCUUCCAGGCCUUCAGCACCAGAUUGUCUCUGCUGAGGAAGAAUCCAGUCACAUGGACUAAGGAGCUAUUGGGUUCCCAGAUUCUCCAGAGAGGAGUAACUAUGUUUGGACUAACUAGCUUAUGGCAUGUAAGUCAAUCUAAUAGAGCCAUAUAUACAUACACACACACACAUAUAUAUGUAUAUAUAUUCUAUUGGUUUUGUUCAUUGAGAGAACUCUGACUAGUACAGACAUCAAUUAUCUGUUAAGAAAAAAAAAAAUCAUAGUUGCCUUCUUCAGCCUUUGUUAAGCCCUUAAAUCUUUUUGUAUACAUA
rnacentral:lncRNA from 1 species